GAUGAACGCUAGCUACAGGCUUAACACAUGCAAGUCGAGGGGAAACGAUAUUGGAAGCUUGCUUCCGAUAGGCGUCGACCGGCGCACGGGUGAGUAACGCGUAUCCAACCUGCCCACCACUUGGGGAUAACCUUGCGAAAGUAAGACUAAUACCCGAUGAUAUCCCUAGAAGACAUCUGAAAGGGAUUAAAGAUUUAUCGGUGAUGGAUGGGGAUGCGUCUGAUUAGCUUGUUGGCGGGGUAACGGCCCACCAAGGCAACGAUUAGUAGGGGUUCUGAGAGGAAGGUCCCCCACAUUGGAACUGAGACACGGUCCAAACUCCUACGGGAGGCAGCAGUGAGGAAUAUUGGUCAAUGGGCGAGAGCCUGAACCAGCCAAGUAGCGUGCAGGACGACGGCCCUAUGGGUUGUAAACUGCUUUUAUAAGGGAAUAAAGUGAGUCUCGUGAGACUUUUUGCAUGUACCUUAUGAAUAAGGACCGGCUAAUUCCGUG
rnacentral:rRNA from 1 species